rnacentral:rRNA from 1 species
UACGGAGGGUGCGAGCGUUGUCCGGAAUUACUGGGCGUAAAGCGUGCGCAGGCGGUUCGUUGUGUCGGCGGUGAAAGCCCCGGGCUUAACCUGGGAAUGGCCGUUGAAACUGGCGAACUGGAGUGUGGCAGAGGGGGGUGGAAUUCCGCGUGUAGCAGUGAAAUGCGUAGAGAUGCGGAGGAACACCGAUGGCGAAGGCAGCCCCCUGGGCCAACACUGACGCUCAGGCACGAAAGCGUGGGGAGCAAACAGG